AGGGGUGAAAUCGAAUUUUGAUGUUUUAUUUACAAUAAAAAUAUGUAGUGUUACCACUCUUU
rnacentral:tRNA from 2 species